rnacentral:tRNA from 3 species
GCGCCACUAGCUCAGCUGGUAGAGCAUCCGACUCUUAAUCGGCAGGUCCUGGGUUCGAAUCCCCGGUGGCGCACCA